rnacentral:rRNA from 1 species
GUAAUAUGACAAACCUCCUUAUCCUUAGCCUGCUCCCGUCACAUCUCAGUAGCUAAGCAGGUUCGGGCCUGGUUAGUACUUGGAUAGGAGACCACUAGGGAUACCGUACGGAUUAUU